rnacentral:rRNA from 1 species
ACCAGCGGAGGGAUCAUUACAGAGUUGCAAAACUCCCUAAACCAUUGUGAACGUUACCUUCAAACCGUUGCUUCGGCGGGCGGCCCGGGUCCGCCCGGUGCCCCCUGGCCCCCUAGCGGGGCGCCCGCCGGAGGAAACCCAACUCUUGAUUAUUAUGGCCUCUCUGAGUCUUCUGUACUGAAUAAGUCAAAACUUUCAACAACGGAUCUCUUGGUUCUGGCAUCGAUGAAGAACGCAGCGAAAUGCGAUAAGUAAUGUGAAUUGCAGAAUUCAGUGAAUCAUCGAAUCUUUGAACGCACAUUGCGCCCGCCAGUAUUCUGGCGGGCAUGCCUGUUCGAGCGUCAUUUCAACCAUCAAGCCCCAGGCUUGUGCUGGGGACCUGCGGCUGCCGCAGGCCCUGAAAACCAGUGGCGGGCUCGCUGUCACACCGGGCGUAGUAGAUUUUAUCUCGCUCAGGGCGUGCUGCGGGUUCCGGCCGUUAAAAAGCCUUUUUACCCAAGGUGACCUCGAU